GUGAAGUCAUGUGAGUGAUUCAGUAUAUGCUUUGUAUGGCUGGAGAAAGCUCAGUAGAUACAAGAAAAAGCAGUGUGUAACAGAUCUCCCCCCACCAUGCAGUGAUCUAAGAGAUGGACCCAGGCUAAAUGGUUUGGAAUAGUUCACCAGUGAAGUCAUCUCAACCAGCACAGGGCCUUGACUCCUAACAACAAUCACACGAACUUGGAAGAGGAGCCUUCCCCACCUGAACCUUCACUUGAGACCUCGUCCUUGGCCAUCCUCUACAUCUGGAUUCAUGAUACAGAGAAACUUGAGUAAUGAUGACAAUAGCAGUCCAGUGUGCAUGGAUGCUGACGUGGAUGCUGUCUCCCAUUCUUACCACUGGAUGGGAAGAAAUGAUAGAUGCAAUCCAGCCAUUGUGUUCUCGACUCUCAGUUCCAUCUUCUCAACUGACAUUGUCUUCCAAAGUCCGUGCCACACCACAGCCUGGAACAUCUCCCAAAGUGGUAUCUUGAUGCAAUGGUAGAGCUCAUGUCACAGUAUUGUAUGUCUCAGGUUUGAAUAACUCACCAGUGAAGUCAUCUUGACCUGGACAGAAAUUGAAUCCUCCCGAGAAUCCCAGGAGCUGGGUAGGUGAUCCUUCCCCAGAUGAGCCUUCCCUUGAAAUCUCUGCCAGGCAUCUGACCCAGAGAAACUACCAUGAUCAUGGACUGCAUUCUCCAUACCAUGUUCAUAUCUUCAGUGGGAAAACAAACUCCUGAGUCCUGGAGACCUAGAAUGAGAGACACAGCUGACCUUGACCGUAUUUCUCACUUCUGAGAAGAUUGUAGCAGUAAUUCAGGUCUUUGUGGAAUCUCCACACUGCCUUCCACAAUGGUUGAACUAAUUUGGACGUCCACCAACGGUGUGUCAGAGAGGUUAAUCCUAAGAACAGUUACAUGAGCUUGGAAGGAGACCCUUCCCCAGCUGAGCCUUAGCCUGGACCAUCACCUACAUCUGGACUGAAGACCUAGAGAAACAACUCUAUCAGGAAUCACUUGGGACUGUGCAUUCUGUUGACACUCACUUUGUGGAAUUAAGUUGCCCACUGCCAACCCUAAAGCCACCAAGGUAGCAGAUGAGGUCUUGUUCUUUUGGCCAGGCUGGAGUGCAGUGGUACAGUCGUGACUCACUGCAGCUUCAAACACCUGGGUUCCAGCAUUCAUCCCACUUCAGCCUCCCGUGUAGCCGGGACUACAGGUAUGAAAUAAUUUCCUAUUGAAGUCAUCUUAACAUGGAACCAGAAUUAAAUCCUAACAACAAUCAUGUGAGCCUGGGGAGGAUCCUUCCCCACGUGAGCCUUCAGGGGAGACUUCAGCCUUGGCCAUCUUCUACAUCUAGAUUCCUGACCAAGAGAAGCUGUGAGUAAUGUGUAUGUGCUUUUCAGCCACUCAGCUGUGUGGGAAUUUGUUAUACAACAAUAGCUAAGUAACACACCUGGCAUUGAAUGUAAUGUGGUAUCCUAGAUUAGAUACUGGAAUAGAAAAGUGACAUUAUUGGAAACCUGAGGAGAACUAUGAAGAAAGUCUGUAGUUCCAUUGAUGGUUUUAUAACACUGUCAAUUUCUCAGUUUUCAUGAAUAGUCUAUGGUUAUAUAAUGUGUUAACAUUCCUUUAAGCUGAAAGGUAUAUGAAACUCUCUGCACUAUAUAUACCUCCUUCUGUAAGUCAAAUAUGAUUUCAAAAUAAUUUUAAAAUAAUAUUUUGGUGCAAAACAAAAACCAACAAAAAGACACAAGAACAUUAGCUUGGUUUCAGGAGAUGGGGUGGGCAAGUAGGGAAAGAACAGCAGUGCAGCUUUCCUAAUCUAUCCACCAUUCGGAACCCAGGUGCACCUGCUUCAGUUAAACACAGUUAGCUCUGGGGACUCUCAUCCAUUUUUGUCUUUGAAAUCAUGCUACUCAUUAUCCACGAACAUUUCAAGUGUCAGUAACCACUUCUUCAGAGAGAGGUGCCUGUUCCUCAUAUAUCCCAGGAUGCCCCAUUUUCAGGCAUUGUCUGGCAGUUUAUUCACAUAAUUCCAGUAAAGCCUUUCUGGAAAAAAUGACUGCUGGACCUUAGAAGCCGAUAUUGCAAAAUGUCAGUGACAGGGAACACAAAUUGUAUUUCUACAAUCAGGAGAGUGUUUUAAUUCCCUUGGUACAGAGAUUUGUUCUUCAACUGAUUAUCAGAUCACUGUGAUAAUUUCUAUUUCUCUUGUCAUGAAUUAUUUGGGACCAUAUAUUCUGUUGCUCUUCACAUCUUGGAAUUAUAUUGUCCAUUUCCAAGGUCAAAGACCACAGAAUAAAUGUCAUCCUGGCAGCAGGUGAGUAGGGCACACAAACAAUGCUUCUAAAUAUGGUGGUUGAUGACAAUGCUUGCUUACUAAGACCUCGAUAUGAAUCUGUGGACAACUGGUUUUUGGCAGGUGAAGUCAUGUGAGUGAUUCAGUAUAUGCUGUGUAUGGCUGGAGAAAGCUGAGUAGAUACAAGAAAAAGCAGUGUGUAACAGAUCUCCCCCCACCAUGCAGUGAUCUAAGAGAUGGACCCAGGCUAAAUGGUGACUCUGCACGUGUUCUGGCUAAACAAAGAAUCUCACAGCAGGAAGAACUGUCCAGCUGUCCCCCACAUAGGUCCCUGCUCAUAGUUCACGGCACUCUGCGGUGUUAGCAUCAGGGUUGUGCCAAAGAACCAUGCCUACAAAGCCUCCCAAGCCAUGAGUCUGCAUGCUGCACUCACACAGACAUAGACAAAGCCAAGACUAUUGCCUUUAUGAUGGUCUGUAAACAUGGGGCAUAUUCUCUAUAGCACAUUGAUAGCUUAUAUGAGAAAAUGAGAUCUUGCAGCCUGGAGACCUAGAGUGGGAGAUAUGACUGACCUCGACCACAUUUUUCACUUCUGAUAUCAGCAUAGAAGUGAUUUAGGUGCUGUUAUUUGAGCAUCUGUACUUUAAGAAACCUUCCACGUCUUCCAAGUUCCAUAUACUUUACUCUUUAAGACAUGACUCCUCUUUUAAAUUUGACAUCUUAAAGGAGGUUUAUUCCAUUUUUUAAAUUUUAACUGAAGAUACUAUAGUACAGUACUUAAAUGACAGAUCUUCUGUUCCUCUUCAUUUUAAUGCAUACUUUUUGAUCUAUUAUGAUGCAUACUGUGAAUAUUCUGCCCACCAAUAAAUGGACCAAAAAAUGGCCAGAGUGACACAUAUGAGCCACAGUUAGACCUGGACAUGAGUUAUGAGGACUACCACAUGGUGGUCACAAUAAUUGAGAUCUGAGUUCUCAAAUUUAAAGGAAAACAGGCACUAUACACAAAACUCUACUGACAUAUUAUCAUGGACACAAAGGACAGAGUGCUGAGCACUGAGUGCCCAAACAAGUGCUUUAACAGCAUGGAAGGCAUGAUUUCCCACAAUAUACUAAGCCACUAAAUUCACAAAGGCCACCACAAUUCUAAAAAAAGAUGUCACUGCAAACAAACCCAAGUCUUAGACCACAAUAUAAGACAAACAUCCCAACAUGCUGUCUCCACACUCUAGCCUGAUUAGGAGUUGUAGUUCAGUGGAUGAAUGGCCCAUAUAUUUAACAUCAUUACUUCAUGUUCAUGCAAUUCAACCUUCCUGCAGUCUAAAACUAUAGGUGAAAUUUCAGUCAAAGUCCUAAAUUAUGAAUUGUAUGAGUUUCUUCUUCACUUAAUAUUUUCCCAGGGAAACAGGAAAACUAAUUUCAAUAUCCAAGUGUCCAAAAGUAGAGUUUGCCAGAGUAGCAAGGGGGCAGAACAAAGCAUUUUAUGAAGAUCACAAUGCAUCUGCUUCUACAGUGCCUAUGUAUUAUCACCAUUUGUGUGAUUAAAAGGGUGAAUGAGAAUGAAGAAAAACAGAGAUCAAGAAUGUUAUAGAUUAAAGAAUUGAAUUUGUAAUGUAGCUUGCAGGGAUCAUUGCUUAUAUUACUAACUUUAGGACACAAUUUUUUUAAUAUAGAUUUUCCUUAGUCUUUAGAAAACUAGCACUUCAGGAAAAAUUUCAAGUGUCUCUCUACAAUUUAUAUCUUCCUCAUCAACAGAUUUCUUGAACCAUAGUUUAUAAAACAAUUACAGCACUUUACUAAUAAGUCUAAUAUUUCUAAUAACUAAGUAGAAUGUAAAUAGAAUUGUUAAAUUAAUGUGAAAAUAUAUACAACAAUGUUUACUUAAUAACAGACUAAAAUAUAGCAGAUUAGCCACCAUGAUUUUUUCUUUUUCUUUUUGAGUUGGAGUUUGCUGUUUCGCCCAGGCUGGAGUGAAGUGGCGAGAUCUCCCCUCACUGCAACCUCCGCCCCCGGGGUUCAAGUGAUUCUCCUGCCUCAGCCACCACCAUUUAACACUGAGAAGUGGGCAGUCACAGAGAAAAAGUUUAGAAUAGUUCACCAGUGAAGUCAUCUCAACCAGCACAGGGCCUUGACUCCUAACAACAAUCACACGAACUUGGAAGAGGAGCCUUCCCCAACUGAACCUUCGCUUGAGACCUCGUCCUUGGCCAUCCUCUACAUCUGGAUUCAUGAUACAGAGAAACUUGAGUAAUGAUGACACUAGCAGUCCAGCCUGCAUGGAUGCUGACAUGGAUGCUGUCUCCCAUUCUUACCACUGGAUGGGAAGAAAUGCUAGAUGCAAUCCAGCCAGUCUGUACUCGACUGUCAGUUCCAUCUUCUCAACUCACAGUGUCUUCCAAAGUCCGUGCCACACCACAGCCUGGAACAUCUCCCAAGGUUUCAAAUAAUUCAUCAGUGAAUUCUUCUCAACCUGGUCAAUCAUGUGAACUUAGAAGAUGAUUCCUCCCCAGCUGAUCCUCAGGUGAGACAUCAGCCUUGGCCAUCAUCUACAUCUGGAUUCCUGACCCAGAGAAACUGCCUCUCUGGAUGGUGACUAUAACCUAUAGCCUUGCCCAAUAUGACUCAGGAUUUGGUACUGGCUGUGCCUUUCAUGGGAUGCUUACUUAUCCUGGUCGAUGGCCUAAAGCCCAACCGUCCAGCUUAUAUCCAGGGUCUCAAGCCACCCAGGCUGGAGUGCAGUGGCACAAUUAUGGCUCACUGUAGCCUCACCUUCCUGGGAUCAAGCAAUCUUCUUUCUUCAGCCUCCAGAGGAGCUGGGACCACAGAUCCUUUGGCAUUUGAGAGUUGCUUUGUGUAUACGGUCCUUUAACGGAGCAAAUGGCCAGCCAGGAAACCAAAGUAUGGACAAGGGGAAAGAAGCGUCUGUGGAGGAAGUUUUACAAGCGCCCUCCUCAUCCAUUUGGGUGGUGUUGCCCAUAUGCUACAUGUCUGUGGACCACUAUGUGUGUUUAAAGCUUUUUAGUAAAACGUUACUAAAAACUAUGACUCACUGUGGUGAAAAAGGUGGCAAAACAGUGACAACAGUGAGUUUGCUGCUGUUAUUAUCUAUGUGAGUGGUCACGAAAGCACAGGUAGCAGCUGAGGCAAGGGGAGGGAAGCUAGGAAAAGAAUCGCAGUGAGAAAGGGAUGAGAACUUCCAUGUCUGUGUUAAUGUCUGGUUUUAUGAUAAACUUGAAACUCAAGAGGCACAGUUGGAAAUUGUACCUUGCCACUUUGUGUGGCUGAGAGAGAGAAAGCUGUGCCAGCUGAAUGUGUGGACUGUCUUUGCCAGUGCAGGCUGGGAUGCAAAUACCUGUAAUUCUUGGGAAACAACCAGUGAGCCAGAUGAUGACAUAGAGUUUAACUCAGAGGAGGAAGAUCAUUAUCCUUCCCAUUUGAGAGUGAAACUGUUCAUGCAGUGGAAAGCAAAAUUCCAACACACAGAGGCCUGGGUAGGAUUACUGGAUAUAAUAAAAACUUUAAAACAGCUGCCAAGAGAAAGCCUUAUGUACAUGAAUGGUGCAGCUAUGGGACACCAGUAGGGAUGAUAUCUCCCUAAAAGGGAAUGAACCUGAAAAAUUGAGACAGAAGUACCCCGGAAGUGAAAUAACCCCCUUAUGGGAUAAGUUAUAGGGAAAGCCAUUUCAGAUUUCCUAGAAACUCAAAAGGAAAGAGAUUAGGUAUGACUGGUUGCUAAAGGAAAAUGGAAAAAGGGAGAAACAAAGUCUGCUGGACUGAAAAAAGGAGUUUAAAAAAGACACAAUUAAGGUUACUAGGAAACAAAUGUGGUAUGAUCUGAUUUCAGCUGGGAUUGACAAAGAGAAUAUAGAUGGGCAACCCAGUGGCAUAUUAGUGGGGUAUGGAAAGACCUGACUCCUGAUCAAUAGUUUAGACACCUUCUUAUUACCUCCCCCACCCCCCAUGAGAAGAGGGAGAAAGACAGGAAGAAACCUUUGGUAAAAAUUCAGGGGUGCACUUCUUUCCAGCCUGGAGAUCAUAGGUAGGGUCAAGGCUGCUUCUGUGUAAGAGCAAUAGGGGGUGACCAGAGGCCGUAUUUGGAGCUCACUAUUGAUUGGAGUCUAAAACAGCACUAAGAGAACCUUAGCUUUAGUGGGCACAGGUGCAGAAUGUGUCUUAAUUGAUGGAAAUCCAGAGAGACACCCUGGUAAGUGGGAAGCUAUAGAUGGUUGUGAGGGGUUAAAAAUCUGAGAGAAACAAACUCCUCUCCUCCUUAGUUUUGUCUGGAGUUCCCUCUUUGCUUACUCUCCUGUCUUUAUCUCACCUAUUGCAGAAAACAUCUUGAAUAUGGAUGUCUUCUUAGGAUGCACUUUACAAACAUCUGUGGGGGAAUCUCACCUAUGACAAAGGCUGUAUUAAGAUUGGAGGCAAAAUUAGAAGGUGUACACCUCCCUCCCCCACAAUGUAUUGUUAAUGUGAGACAAUACCAUCUUCCUGGUAGAAUAUAAGAAGUCACAGCCGCCAUGGAGAAAUUGGCCAAAGUUAAUAUUAUCUGGCCAGCCCAGAGUCCUUUCAGCCAUCCUGUGUGACCAAUAAUAAAAUCUGAUGGCACUUGGAUAUGACAGUAGAUAAGUGGACACUACUGAUCUUUCUAAGAUACAUGCUCCUUUAUGUAAUGUAACUCAAGUGAUUGAGCAAUUAAUACAAAACAUAGGCACUUAUCAUGCUGUGUUAGAUUUAGCUAAUGCCUUCUUUAGCAUCCCUUUUACCCUGACUUGCAGUCAUUAUAUUGAUGAUACUCUAACUUCUGAAGACUUGUCAUUGCUACAGCAACACGGAGAUGCAUUGACACCCUUCUUCAAUCCAGAGGAUGGGCCAUCAACUCACAAAAGUACAAGGCCUGGAACCAGCUGCAAAGUUCCUAUGGAUCACUUGGCCAGAAACAGGUUCUAACUAUGUUGCCCAAGCUGGUCCUGAACCGCUAGCCUCAAAUAAUCCUCCUGCCUGAACCUACCAAAGCAUUGGUAUUACAAGUUUGACCCACCGUGAUCUGUCCAGAGUGGGAAAUAGAAUCUUAACAACUAUCACAUGAACUUUGAGGGUAUCCUUCUCCAGAUGAGCCUUCAGUUGAGACCUCAGCCUUGGACAUCAUCUGCACCUGGAUUCCUGACCCAGAGCAACUGAAUUUUAUGGAACCUUGUAUUCUGUUGAAUACCAGAAUUAUAUCAGCAAUCCCAAAGUCACCAAAUGGGCAUCAUCAUGACAGCAGACUUCAUCAUGAAUUCAUGGCAUCACACAGUCCCCUGAUGCUAUAACAUCAUGGAUUUCUUUUGUCCAGUGAGAGGCCCAAAAGCUGCAGCAUAGACAAUAUCAUAGUGUAGAAGGUUCACUAGACCGUGAUCAUGGGCUACAUUCUCCGUACCAGCUUCAUAGCUCCAGUGAGAAAAUAAAUUCCUGCAUCCAGGAGAUGUGGAGUAAGAGAUACAGCUGCCCUUGACCAUAUUUCUUACUUCCGAGAAGAUCGUAGCAGUAAUUCAGGUUAUUGGGGAACAGGUGGUUUGGGUUACAUGAAAUCUCAUCCAGGAUACCUCAUCACAGGCUGGAGUGCAGUGUCAUGAGCUUGGCUCACUACAGCCUCCAUCUUCUGUGCUUAAGGAUCCUUCCCUCUCAACCUCCAAGGUAGCUGAGACUACAGGCAACAUUCGAAACCCAGGUGCCACUCCUUCAGGAAGGUACCAUCAAGCUCCAAGGACUCAUCCUCUUUCUCCUUCCCCACUACCUAGUCAUUAGAGCGUCAGCAUCCACUUCCUGAAAGGAAGAUGCCUGUUUUUCACAUAUCCCAGAAAGCCUCAUUUUAGGACAGCAUUUAGCAGAGUGUAUUCAGGAUCCCACUAACCUUUUCGGAAGACAUGACUUCCAGAUGAUAUAAGGCUCCAUCAGGAACUGUGCAGGACUGUGCACUCUGUUGAUACUCACAUGGUGGAAUUAUAUUGCCCUUGGCCAACCCUAAAGCCAUCAAGAUAGCAGGUUUGGAAUAAUUCACUGUCGAAGUCUUCUUGAGCUGAGCAGUCAUGUGAGCUUGGAAGAUGAUCCCUCUCCAGCUGAUCCUUCAGCUCAGGCCAUCAUCUACAUCUGGAUUCCUGACCCGGAGAAACUAUGAGUAAUGUGUGCUGCUUUUGAGCCACUAAGCUACAUGAAUUAAUGAAGGAUCAUUAUUAAGUUUUUAAUGGGUCAAGAGAAAGUUACCACUGAGGUCUUCUCUACCUGGGCAACAAUUGACUCCUAACAACCACUAUAAGCUUGGAAGAUGAUCCCUCCCCAGCUGAUCCUUCAGUUCACAUGAAGCAUUUGGAAGUAAACACACGAUGGACUGAACACUUUGCUGCUUAGAAACUUCUUCUUCCAGAUUCCCUAGUUCAUCAUUAAGUAGUUAGGCCUCUCACAAAGCCCUUGGUCACGGAUACAGGUCAGCCGUUCUUUACCCAAUCAAAACAGGGAUGGCCUUUACUGCAGUUACUAAUAUCUUGUUUUUUAGUUUCAUCUGACAUUUUGUCAGAAUGGCCCUUAUGUCAGUAUUUCUAUCAGCAGUGAGGACUAAACUCUGAUUUUUUUAUCUUGCCCAAAUUCCUAUCUAAAAGGUCUGGGGAGUCAUGCCCUACAAAUGAUAAAUUCUCAUCAGAUGGGUUUUAUUUGACCCUGUAUAUCGUGACUUACUUUCCAACCUGACUGUGGCAUAACAUUACAAAAGAAGGAAGAAAAUCAAAAUAUUUUACUCCAAAAACAUGUUUCUUUGUUGCAUUUUGAAAUGGUCCUGCAAGCCAUCCUUUGUGGAGGAAAAUUCACGUCUGUAAAGAAUCUCUAUUAGCCUCUAUAUCUAUAGAGGUUAAUAUAUAUCUAUAUGUUAGCCUCUAUAUAUAUAAUAUAAUAUAAUCUAUAUCUAUAACCUCUAUAUCUAUAUCUGUAAAGAAUCUCUAUUAACCUCUAUAUCGAGGUAUAAUCUCUAUACCUCGACCUUUGUCUGUCAGGCCCUUCCAAUUCUGAAUAGAUUAGGUAAGAGUGUAGCACCUUUUAAAGUCUGAAUAGGCAACAUUUGUCAUCUAUUAUCUCUAAGUGCAAUGGCUAUGAGACUUCAAAAGAACCUUGGUCUCCAAAGUCUUUUGUCUUAACCUGAACAUUUCCUUUCUAUUGAUCCCAG
rnacentral:lncRNA from 10 species